AUUGAACGCUGGCGGCAGGCUUAACACAUGCAAGUCGAGCGGAGCGAGGGUGCUUGCACCUUAGCUUAGCGGCGGACGGGUGUGUAAUGCUUAGGAAUCUGCCUAUUAGUGGGGGACAACAUUCCGAAAGGGAUGCUAAUACCGCAUACGCCCUACGGGGGAAAGCAGGGGAUCUUCGGACCUUGCGCUAAUAGAUGAGCCUAAGUCGGAUUAGCUAGUUGGUGGGGUAAAGGCCUACCAAGGCGACGAUCUGUAGCGGGUCUGAGAGGAUGGUCCGCCACACUGGGACUGAGACACGGCCCAGACUCCUACGGGAGGCAGCAGUGGGGAAUAUUGGACAAUGGGCGGAAGCCUGAUCCAGCCAUGCCGCGUGUGUGAAGAAGGCCUUUUGGUUGUAAAGCACUUUAAGCGAGGAGGAGGCUACUAGUAUUAAUACUACUGGAUAGUGGACGUUACUCGCAGAAUAAGCACCGGCUAACUCUGUGCCAGCAGCCGCAGUAAAAC
rnacentral:rRNA from 1 species